GCUAGCGUAGCUUAACCAAAGCAUAACACUGAAGAUGUUAAGAUGGGCCCUAAGAAGCCCCGAAAGCA
rnacentral:tRNA from 1 species